rnacentral:rRNA from 1 species
AGUGAACGCUGGCGGUAGGCCUAACACAUGCAAGUCGAACGGCAGCACAGUAAGAGCUUGCUCUUACGGGUGGCGAGUGGCGGACGGGUGAGGAAUACAUCGGAAUCUACUUUUUCGUGGGGGAUAACGUAGGGAAACUUACGCUAAUACCGCAUACGACCUACGGGUGAAAGAAGGGGAUCUUCGGACCUUGCGCGAUUGAAUGAGCCGAUGUCGAAUUCGUUAGUUGGCGGGGUAAAGGCCCACCAAGGCGACGAUCCGUAGCUGGUCUGAGAGGAUGAUCAGCCACACUGGAACUGAGACACGGUCCAGACUCCUACGGGAGGCAGCAGUGGGGAAUAUUGGACAAUGGGCGCAAGCCUGAUCCAGCCAUACCGCGUAGGUGAAGAAGGCCUUCGGGUUGUAAAGCCCUUUUGUUGGGAAAGAAAAGCAGCAGGUUAAUACCCCGCUGUUCUGACGGUACCCAAAGAAUAAGCACCGGCUAACUUCGUG